CUCCCCUUACACAGAGACAGACACAGUCAGAGAGAAGACACGCUGGGUCUCGGCUAGGCUCUCCUCUGCGAGCAGGUGGAACUCUGGAUAUCUAUGGGUCUUGGGCCUGCUGGAAAAGGCAGGCAGGGGAACGCUAAAAGUCAAGAUGGUGUGGAGCUGUAGAGGGACUGAGGCGGGUGAGAGCAGCCGCGCAGCGAGCACUCUGAGCGGGCACACGGAGCGAGUGGACGCUGAUGGAUCAUGAGAGCGGCCGCCGGAGGAGAGCGCGGCCGGAAAGAGCGCCUGCUCGCUGGGCGCGCAUGUGAGGAUCCGCCCGGGAGGCAGACGGAGCUCUGGAUGUGUCAGUCAAACUGAGUUGGAAACGAGGACUGUGAGCGACACCACAUCGUGUAAGUUUCUUGCCUGUAAAUCUCUGCUCUGCUCGGGGAGAUAAAACGGCCCAAAUGAAAUGAAGACGCACGUCAAGUAUUUUUUUCUACUCAAGCAUGGCGGUGAUAAUUGGAUUGUGUGGACACCUGUAUGAGUGCAGUAUAUCCAGGGGAUUAGAGAACGGGAUGGCUUUUGCAGGUUCUGUCCAAACCUGUGGGCUGCAUUCUCCUGAUUCGUCGUCUCGCGGAGGACCAGAUCUGGGGACAUUGGUGUCAGCAAACUUCGAGCAUCAACUUUGACCUCUCAGUAAAUUCAUAUGCUGGACGCAUGCUAAAAUGAUUACGUAUAUGGAAUUUACUAAUGUCACUGCAUUCUGCGUGACUCAUUUCACCAAAAGAAACUUGUAUCCAUUUAUGAUAAAAAAAAAAU